rnacentral:lncRNA from 1 species
CUUGAGGCGACAAGAGACAGAUCAGUGGUGUCGAAUCGAUUGUACUUCUUAACAAGAUAAUAUGCUAUCUUCAGUACUCGAUACGUAAACACAAUCUCGAUAUCGAAGAUCAAACUAUUUCUGAACAACUAAUCUGAUAGGCGACAUACAUCAUUCUACUAUUUGAGGACUGAUCCAUUACCGUACACUAAUGGAUCACAUCCAAGGAGGAGAGCCACACAUCCAAGGAGGAGAGCCGAGAGCAACUAGUUUGCAUAUUAGUUUUGUGUGUUGGGAGAGGAUGGCCAAUAGAAUCCUCUUGACUAAUAAUGGAAUUAGAAAUGACAGGGUUAUGUGGGUCGGAAGGCGGGUCA